CCAUAUUUUCAUCUUUUUUCUUUGACAGAAACAUUAAAGAAAAAAAAAGAAAUAAGGUUUUCAAUGGUUCAGCCAUUGUUAAGCUUAAUCAAGGUAUGUAGCUGUAAGACCUAAUUUGUGACCGGGCUUACACAAACUAAAAAACAAAUCAAAAUAUAAAUAAUAAUAAUAAUAAUAAAGUCUAAUGUCCAUUUCUUACAUAGCCCAACAACCAAAAAUAACGGGCUCAAAUUAAAAAACCUAAACCCAACAAAAUACACAGCUCACUGGCCCAAAUAAUCCAAGCUUCAGUUUCAGAAAAUGAAACCCUAAGUCAGUAGCCUCGUGCCGCAGCCUUCACGAGUGGCCUCGCUACAUCGCACGUGCACCUCCGUUCCUCCACGUCAACGGAACCUGUGAGAAGGAAAAUAAACAGCAAAGGAAUGCACGAGAGAGAAGCUAACAGAAUUUACAGCGAUUGACAGCAAGAAAAUGUAAUUUUAUUUUUUAUUUACUCUGUAAAUCCGGCUAUAAAAAGCCAUCGAAUGUACCUGCAAAGGAGGCAUAUGACGCACAGUGUACGCAUACACACAUACAAUAUACAGAUAUUGAAUAGAAAAGUUUAAAAGCAUUUUGAAAAGGUAAUUUUCUUUAGUCUUUUUAACUAUUCUGUUAUUUUUUAUAUAUUUUCUUGCCAUUGCUUUCAUCAUCUGUGUUUUAAAAUAAAGAGGAGAGAAAAGCAAGUCUCACCUUGCAAAUCGGCCACCGAUCUCCGUUCACUUCGUUGAGAUCGAAGUAGAAAGGGGAUCCAAAGGCAACAUCUAUUACUGCUGGUGCGCCAUUGAGCACCAAAUUAAAUGGUGGAUUCGACAGAUGCAGAAAACCGAAGCAAAUUGAUUUUUGGGGGUUGUUAAUUUAGGUUAAAAAAUGGCUGAACUAAAAGAAGAGAAAAAGGCAUUAAAACCUUUGUAGAAAGUGGUGCUGUUUGAAAUGGAAAAGUCCACGUGUAAACCCGAUGCAAAAGACAGAUCUGCACUCUUUUUUAUCUUAAAUGAGCUAUUUGCACGUCUGAUCCUUCCCGCAUAUGUCAAUCUUCAAUCGGAUCCAACCUAUGCUACACUUAUUUUUUUAUUUUGUCUGGGAAUUUGUACACUAUUGCGAUUUGAUCCACGGCUAAAUUCAGCGUUUUGAAAUGUAAAUUAUUUCCAAUUCUGGUCCUUAUACAUUUGCAAGCAUGACGCCUAAGUCCC
rnacentral:lncRNA from 1 species